UAAUGAUCCUGGAAGAGAAAAUGGGAG
rnacentral:piRNA from 1 species